UACGUAGGGCGCAAGCGUUAUCCGGAAUUAUUGGGCGUAAAGAGCUCGUAGGCGGCCUGUUACGUCUGCUGUGAAAUCCCGGGGCUUAACCUCGGGCGUGCAGUGGAUACGGGCAGGCUGGAGGCAGGCAGGGGAGAACGGAAUUCCCGGCGUAGCGGUGAAAUGCGCAGAUAUCGGGAGGAACACCGGUGGCGAAGGCGGUUCUCUGGGCCUGUACUGACGCUGAGGAGCGAAAGCGUGGGGAGCGAACAGG
rnacentral:rRNA from 1 species